rnacentral:rRNA from 1 species
AUUGAACGCUGGCGGCAGGCCUAACACAUGCAAGUCGAGCGGAUGAAGGGAGCUUGCUCCUGGAUUCAGCGGCGGACGGGUGUGUAAUGCCUAGGAAUCUGCCUGGUAGUGGGGGAUAACGUCCGGAAACGGGCGCUAAUACCGCAUACGUCCUGAGGGAGAAAGAGGGGGAUCUUCGGACCUCACGCUAUCAGAUGAGCCUAGGUCGGAGUAGCUAGUUGGUGGGGUAAAGGCCUACCAAGGCGACGAUCCGUAACUGGUCUGAGAGGAUGAUCAGUCACACUGGAACUGGGACACGGUCCAGACUCCUACGGGAGGCAGCAGUGGGGAAUAUUGGACAAUGGGCGAAAGCCUGAUCCAGCCAUGCCGCGUGUGUGAAGAAGGUCUUCGGAUUGUAAAGCACUUUUAGUUGGGAGGAAGGGCAGUAAGUUAAUACCUUGCUGUUUUGACGUUACCAACAGGAUAAGCACCGGCUAACUUCGUG